rnacentral:rRNA from 1 species
ACUGUAAAGUCGAAUCCGAUUCACCGAGAAAGAGAGAGGAUCAUGAUAAUGGGUAAGACUUGGCUUAGUUGUGUGUGUGAUCAUGAUCACGUCGGUCUUGUGUUCAUCAUGUGCGUACGGGAGGAGACAAAGAAGAUGUGGAACGGGUCUAGCUCGUCGUGCGGUCGCUGCCCUUUCUACGACGAGGCGGCGACGGCCUAGGAGUUUAGAGAGAGAGAGAGAGAGAGAGAGAGAGAGAGAGAGAGACUACAUUUAGGGGUAUACAGGGGGUACCUAAGUAGGGAUUGGGAGUUUAGGAGGAGACUAAAACCGAACGUCCACUCCGAGAGCAACCCUACACUAAGGCGACGAGGUCUAGCUUCAGCGGCCGAACCCGCGGCGGCACUACGACCUACCACGUCCAGUCUCGAGGUCACGCACCGGUACCUCGUCUAGCUUGUAUACACGUCUAUCUUUCUACUUCUUUCACCCUCCUUCUGUUCGACGUCCAAACCGAUAAACCCCUUCUUACCUCUACACACUUCAGAACCGUUACCGAACGAGACGAGAGAGAGGAAAAUUAUAGUCUUUUGGUAGAAGGAACCGACCAUACCGAAGGGUAGGGGAAGAGGUAACAAGAGUGUCCACGAUCGAACAUUAACCGACUUCCAACUUCGGGUAUGUAUCUGAUAUUACAACUUGUUAACUGAUAAUUAGAUAACACGUGCACUCUCACCACCAAUCACACAGAGUUUACACAGUACAACAGGAUCAACUGAGUUUCUAUAAAACACAACCAGAUUCAAACCAGACCGUAACAACAUAUCCAAUUGUAUCAAACCAGAAGGAUAUAAAAAAAAGUUUCUAAACAUCAUGUGGACAUGUUGACAUGACAAACUCCACAUACCUAUAUUUAUAUAUAUAAACUCACCAAUACGAACAACUUC